UACAGAGGGUGCGAGCGUUAAUCGGAAUUACUGGGCGUAAAGCGCACGUAGGUGGCGACGUAAGUCGGGUGUGAAAGCCCUGGGCUCAACCUGGGAAUGGCAUUGGAAACUGGCGAUCUAGAGUGCGGUAGAGGGCAGUGGAAUUCCCGGUGUAGCAGUGAAAUGCGUAGAGAUCGGGAGGAACAUCUGUGGCGAAGGCGACUGCCUGGACCAGCACUGACACUGAGGCACGAAAGCGUGGGGAGCAAACAGG
rnacentral:rRNA from 1 species